rnacentral:ncRNA from 1 species
AUUUAUAAGAAUAUGAUGUUGGUUCAGAUUAAGCGCUAAAUAAGGACAUGACACAUGCGAAUCAUACGUUUAUUAUUGAUAAGAUAAUAAAUAUGUGGUGUAAACGUGAGUAAUUUUAUUAGGAAUUAAUGAACUAUAGAAUAAGCUAAAUACUUAAUAUAUUAUUAUAUAAAAAUAAUUUAUAUAAUAAAAAGGAUAUAUAUAUAAUAUAUAUUUAUCUAUAGUCAAGCCAAUAAUGGUUUAGGUAGUAGGUUUAUUAAGAGUUAAACCUAGCCAACGAUCCAUAAUCGAUAAUGAAAGUUAGAACGAUCACGUUGACUCUGAAAUAUAGUCAAUAUCUAUAAGAUACAGCAGUGAGGAAUAUUGGACAAUGAUCGAAAGAUUGAUCCAGUUACUUAUUAGGAUGAUAUAUAAAAAUAUUUUAUUUUAUUUAUAAAUAUUUAAUAUUUAUAAUAAUAAUAAUAAUAAUAUAUAUAUAUAAAUUGAUUAAAAAUAAAAUCCAUAAAUAAUUAAAAUAAUGAUAUUAAUUACCAUAUAUAUUUUAUAUGGAUAUAUAUAUUAAUAAUAAUAUUAAUUUAUUAUUAUUAAUAAUAUAUUUUAAUAGUCCUGACUAAUAUUUGUGCCAGCAGUCGCGGUAACACAAAGAGGGCGAGCGUUAAUCAUAAUGGUUUAAAGGAUCCGUAGAAUGAAUUAUAUAUUAUAAUUUAGAGUUAAUAAAAUUAAUUAAAGAAUUAUAAUAGUAAAGAUGAAAUAAUAAUAAUAAUUAUAAGACUAAUAUAUGUGAAAAUAUUAAUUAAAUAUUAACUGACAUUGAGGGAUUAAAACUAGAGUAGCGAAACGGAUUCGAUACCCGUGUAGUUCUAGUAGUAAACUAUGAAUACAAUUAUUUAUAAUAUAUAUUAUAUAUAAAUAAUAAAUGAAAAUGAAAGUAUUCCACCUGAAGAGUACGUUAGCAAUAAUGAAACUCAAAACAAUAGACGGUUACAGACUUAAGCAGUGGAGCAUGUUAUUUAAUUCGAUAAUCCACGACUAACCUUACCAUAUUUUGAAUAUUAUAAUAAUUAUUAUAAUUAUUAUAUUACAGGCGUUACAUUGUUGUCUUUAGUUCGUGCUGCAAAGUUUUAGAUUAAGUUCAUAAACGAACAAAACUCCAUAUAUAUAAUUUUAAUUAUAUAUAAUUUUAUAUUAUUUAUUAAUAUAAAGAAAGGAAUUAAGACAAAUCAUAAUGAUCCUUAUAAUAUGGGUAAUAGACGUGCUAUAAUAAAAUGAUAAUAAAAUUAUAUAAAAUAUAUUUAAUUAUAUUUAAUUAAUAAUAUAAAACAUUUUAAUUUUUAAUAUAUUUUUUUAUUAUAUAUUAAUAUGAAUUAUAAUCUGAAAUUCGAUUAUAUGAAAAAAGAAUUGCUAGUAAUACGUAAAUUAGUAUGUUACGGUGAAUAUUCUAACUGUUUCGCACUAAUCACUCAUCACGCGUUGAAACAUAUUAUUAUCUUAUUAUUUAUAUAAUAUUUUUUAAUAAAUAUUAAUAAUUAUUAAUUUAUAUUUAUUUAUAUCAGAAAUAAUAUGAAUUAAUGCGAAGUUGAAAUACAGUUACCGUAGGGGAACCUGCGGUGGGCUUAUAAAUAUC